rnacentral:rRNA from 1 species
GGGCCCGCACAAGCGGUGGAGCAUGUGGUUUAAUUCGAUGAUACGCGAGGAACCUUACCAGGGUUUAAAUGUAGAAUGACCGGGGUGGAAACACCCCUUUCUUCGGACAGACUACAAGGUGCUGCAUGGUUGUCGUCAGCUCGUGCUGUGAAGUGUCGGGUUAAGUCCCAUAACGAGCGCAACCCCCAUUUCUAGUUGCCAGCGGUUCGGCCGGGGACUCUAGAGAAACUGCCAGCGUAAGCUGUGAGGAAGGUGGGGAUGACGUCAAAUCAUCACGGCCCUUACAUCCUGGGCCACACACGUGCUACAAUGGUAGGGACAACAGGUUGCCAACCCGCGAGGGUGAGCCAAUCCCAAAACCCUAUCUCAGUUCGGAUCGGAGUCUGCAACUCGACUCCGUGAAGUUGGAAUCGCUAGUAAUCG